rnacentral:rRNA from 1 species
UACGGAGGGUGCAAGCGUUAUCCGGAUUCACUGGGUUUAAAGGGUGCGUAGGCGGGCCGCUAAGUCCGUGGUGAAAGCCUGGGGCUUAACCCCAGAAGGGCCACAGAUACUAGCGGUCUUGAAUGUUGUGGAGGUGAGCGGAAUAUGUCAUGUAGCGGUGAAAUGCUUAGAGAUGACAUAGAACACCAAUUGCGAAGGCAGCUCACUACACAAUGAUUGACGCUGAGGCACGAAAGCGUGGGGAUCAAACAGG